GGGUCAGUAGGUUGGUCGUGCCACCGGUACGUACGUGUCUCACUGAUUCCUCCUUCCUGAAGAACCGUAAUGCCAUUAAUUUGGUGUUGCGGGGAAACAGGACUGUUACUUUGAAAAAAUUAGAGUGUUUAAAGCAAGCUAACGCUUGAAUACAUUAGCAUGGAAUAAUGAAAUAGGACGUUCGAUCCUAUUUUGUUGGUUUCUAGGAUUGACGUA
rnacentral:rRNA from 1 species